rnacentral:rRNA from 1 species
AACGCGAAGAACCUUACCUGGGCUCGAAAUGUAGUGGAAUCGGGUGGAAACAUCCGCGUCUCGCAAGAGACUGCUAUAUAGGUGCUGCAUGGCUGUCGUCAGCUCGUGUCGUGAGAUGUUGGGUUAAGUCCCGCAACGAGCGCAACCCUUAUCCCUAGUUGCCAUCGGGUCAAGCCGGGCACUCUAGUGAAACCGCUCAGGAUAACUGGGAGGAAGGUGGGGAUGACGUCAAGUCCUCAUGGCCUUUAUGUCCAGGGCUACACACGUGCUACAAUGGUCGGUACAAACCGUCGCAAACCCGCGAGGGGGAGCUAAUCGGAAAAAGCCGGCCUCAGUUCGGAUUGGAGUCUGCAACCCGACUCCAUGAAGCUGGAAUCGCUAGUAAUCGCGGAUCAGAACGCCGCGGUGAAUACGUUCCCGGGCCUUGUA